rnacentral:rRNA from 1 species
CCUACGGGGGGCAGCAGUGGGGAAUAUUGCACAAUGGGGGAAACCCUGAUGCAGCGACGCCGCGUGAGUGAAGAAGUAUUUCGGUACGUAAAGCUCUAUCAGCAGGGAAGAAAAUGACGGUACCUGACUAAGAAGCCCCGGCCAACUACGUGCCAGCAGCCGCGGUAAUACGUAGGGGGCAAGCGUUAUCCGGAUUUACUGGGUGUAAAGGGAGCGUAGACGGCAGCGCAAGUCUGGAGUGAAAUCCCAUGGCUUAACCAUGGAACUGCUUUGGAAAUUGUGCAGCUAGAGUGCAGGAGAGGUAAGCGGAAUUCCUAGUGUAGCGGUGAAAUGCGUAGAUAUUAGGAGGAACACCAGUGGCGAAGGCGGCUUACUGGACUGUAACUGACGUUGAGGCUCGAAAGCGUGGGGAGCAAACAGGAUUAGAUACCCGUGUAGUC